UGACACUCAAGAAAACAUUCACACUCGUUAACUAUGAAUUUGAACUCAAUUUAUUAAUCAAGCCAAUCAUAUACAUCUCCUAUUAGUAAUUUUGCAUUACUAUACUAUUCUUAUUCUAUGCUUAUUGUUUAUUAUGCUGUGAGUAUUUUACUAACAAACCUAUGAUUCUUAAUGCAGCACCUAGAAUUUGAUGCAUUAAAGCAGGAAAUGAAACUCGGACAAAAUUUUGACACUCCUUUCUGGGUUUAGAUGCAACUUUACCUUAUGCAUGUUUGAUCCUUUUGCUGGCUGGAUUGCAAUUUAAUAGUAGCUUCACUCUGAUCAAGAAGCAACUCUAAGAAUGGUUGAUCCGUUAAAUUUCCAUAGUGUAACUUGGUAGAUUUAUGAUGCUGUCAAACUUUUUUCUUUUUACCUCAGUUUUGUCUCACAAAUGUA
rnacentral:lncRNA from 1 species